rnacentral:misc_RNA from 1 species
AGGCUCUCCUUGGCUCUCUCCCAUUCGCCGCCCUCCGCCCUCCUCUCCAGCUCUGUCGCGCCAUCUCGACUCCCCUGUGGUUCGCUCUGCUGUGCACCUCCGCUUCACCUUUCUCAGCAUUUCGGCGCGAGGUUUCGAAGAUGGGGUGCAAGUUCACCUUUCUCGUCUACGCGAUCCUCCAGCUCAUCGCGUUCCUUUCCGUGCUGAUCGGUACGCCGCUGGAGAUGUUUCGUGGCACCACGAGGGACCCGUAUAACGUAUCCUUGUGCAUCACUUUAUGGGGUACAAAGUACGACUUCCAAUGCCACUUCAUCAUGUACGCCCAGACGACGGACGGGCAGUGGGCGCGUUGCACGACCCGCCGCCAACAUUUCCGCAUGGCUGAGGCGUUGGUAGUCAUCUCCAUCAUCCUGUACGCCUUGGCGGCGCUGCUUGGCUUCAUUAUGCUGUUCUGCUGCUCUUUGCUCCGCUGGGUAUGCCUGGCGCUCAACGUCGUUGGCCUCUUAACGUUGGGCAUCACCUGGGGCCUUAUGGUGACGGAGUUCAACAAGGGUGACGGCCCACUUUGCCCUCCUCUGAAGAACAACUACAAGUUUGGCUACGGCUUCUUUCUCCUGUUGGUGGCCUGGGUCCUGGAUCUCGUCGACAUCGUCUUCUUGCUGUUCCCGUUGCCGACUAUGCGCUCAGAUGAGAGUGAGAAAUCGAACGAAAGCGUAGAGCAGGAGUAGGCGGAAGGGAGCCGCAGGAGGCGGAGGGGCGGUGUUGCUAGCCGCGCGGCAGCUUCGCGACGACGCGCUCGUGGAGGAGCCGGCGGAGCUGAUGUCAGCGUGCCAGAGGGAGGGAGCGAGGGCUGCGGAUACUCGCCCCUGCCCUUCGCCGGCAGCUCUCCGUCUGCUGCUCGCUGCCCUCUCGUGCGUGCGCGUGAGGUGCGCCGCACGCGCUGCCGAGGGGGUGCAGACGUGCAGGCACGCCCUGGCAUGCACAUGCCGAGGAGCCGCUCUCGCUUUCUGCGCUUCCGCGUCUCUUUCUCCGUUUCCCGUCGUGCUGCAUUGCUGUCGAGUGCCAGUGCGGCGUAUGCGGGCACUUGCUGACGUGUUCAUGGUUUCUCCCUCGCCUGUCUUCGUCUUCUCGUGCGUGUGCCGCUUGUUGAGCUUUCCGCCUCUCGCCUCGCUGUUGCCUUUUCUGCUGACCUGCGCAGCGGUCUGCGCGUUGUGGUGGGCAGCGCACCCUUGACGGCGACCCGCCCACCGAUGACCCCUCCCUCCCCCUCUGAGCGGUCGCCCUCGCUGCCUUGUUGAAGCAGGCCCCCCCCCUCUCCCCCGCACGCUCGGCGGGCGCAGCCUUGGCGAGACGAGAGGGCGAGCGGGGAAGCGAGGGGGUGGCACGGGCGUCGCCGGCCGGAGCAUUGAGGUGUGCAAGCGAGGGUGCACGGCUGCGAGGGCGAGGGAAGGCCGACGACGAGAACGGGCGAGGAAGAGACGGACGCGCUGGAAAGAGGGACGGUGAGCGCAAGGCCGCCACCGCACUGGUGGCCAGCCUCCGCCCCCUCCCUCCGUACAUCGGUGUCGCGGCCGCGCGUGUUUCCUGUACUUCUCUGGGGCGCCCCCUCUCGCCCCGUCUCUGUCUCCUCGCCCUCACGCACGCCGCAUGGACUCCUCAAACGGAGAGGGGGGAGGGGGCGGGGUGCCACGUGUGGUGGUGGCGGGCGCAGGAACCAAACGGGCUAAUGGGCGGACGGCACGGGGAGGAGAGAGGACGGCGUCCGCGGACCCAGAAGCGACACACAGGUGCGUACGCAGCGCUAAAGAGGGCGAUUGCAGCUCUUGCUCCUCUUGGUUCCUUGCGCCCCAUGCACGGCCUACGUGUGCGCGCACACACCGACGCGCGCGCAGGUGCGCAGGAGGGGCGGCACCCCCUGCUGCCGUGUAAGGGGCUGCGGUGUCGGGCGGGGCAGUGGGGAGAGAGAGGGCGAGGCUGGCGAGGUGGCGGGUGGGAGGCUCUCCAUGGUGCACGAAGGGCGACCUCACGUCGGACGUGGGCGUGCGUGGUGAGGCGUGUGCCCUUUGCGUUGCUCUCGAGCCCUCGUCGCGUUUGUGCCCUCCGCUGUUUUCCGUGUCUCUUUCUGCUUCCGCAUGGACGCGCGCCUCCCCUCGACCCCCGCUGUCGCACACGGCAUGCGCGUGUGUGCCGGUGCAUGCGCCCUUGUGACCGUCCUCCCCCUUCCUCAGCGGAUGCCCCCUCCCCGCCGCCCCUCUCUUGCUGCGGCGACUGCCCCGCGCUCCUCGCACUCCCAGGGAGGAAGAAGCGCCGCUGCGACAGGAGAGCCGCCGAGCACACCCUCUGUCCCGCCCCCCUCCUUAUGUUGCCGCUGCUUCCUCCUCUCGUCUCGUGCUCUUGUGCGCACCCGCCGCUACGCGUCUUCACUUGCUUUGCUGCUCUUUUCCGCGUGCCGGUACCCGCGCUCCCCUUUCUCUCGGUCCUCCGCAGGCCACGGACGCGUGGGGCCCGCCUGCGUGUGCGUGUGCGUGUGCGUCUCUCCCGUCGCUUUAUGCGCGCCGCUGUCCUUCUCUUGUGCCUCUCUCCCCGUGCGCAGGCGAGAGGGGCUGGCUGAGACGGCGAAGAGAACGGCCACGGCAGCACAGCGGAGCAGGGGGACGGGGGAGGGGGUGAGUGCGCAACGGCGACGGCGCCCCCAAAGGAUAGGGGGCUAGCCCUUCAACAGGAGUGCGUGCCUGCGUGUGUGUGCUUGUCUCUGUGCGCGUUGUGUCUUUAUUAUGUCUUCGCCUUUCUUGUGUCGCUUCUUUUGCUUUUCUUUGUUUCGAUGCCUAAUCACACCACCGAGUCCUCCAG